rnacentral:rRNA from 1 species
UACGUAGGGGGCUAGCGUUGUUCGGAUUUACUGGGCGUAAAGGGCGCGUAGGCGGCCACCGCAAGUCAGUUGUGAAAUCUCUGGGCUUAACCCAGAACGGUCAGCUGAUACUGCGGGGCUAGAGUGCAGAAGGGGCAACUGGAAUUCUCGGUGUAGCGGUGAAAUGCGUAGAUAUCGAGAGGAACACCUGCGGCGAAGGCGGGUUGCUGGGCUGACACUGACGCUGACAGCGCGAAAGCUAGGGGAGCGAACGGG